rnacentral:rRNA from 1 species
UGACGGUACCUGACUAAGAAGCUCCGGCUAAAUACGUGCCAGCAGCCGCGGUAAUACGUAUGGAGCAAGCGUUAUCCGGAUUUACUGGGUGUAAAGGGCGUGUAGGCGGAGCUGCAAGUCAGAUGUGAAAUCCCGGGGCUCAACCCCGGAACUGCAUUUGAAACUGUAGCCCUUGAGUAUCGGAGAGGCAAGCGGAAUUCCUAGUGUAGCGGUGAAAUGCGUAGAUAUUAGGAGGAACACCAGUGGCGAAGGCGGCUUGCUGGACGACAACUGACGCUGAGGCGCGAAAGCGUGGGGAGCAAACAGGAUUAGAUACCCUG